UACGAUCCUUAAACGAGAGUUGACAAAUUUCUAAAAUUGUAGAACCAGUCUCAUUUUCACUGCUGUGGUGUUUCCAGCGUUAGCAUCUAGCGAUCUAGCGGUCGAUCCGCAAUUUUCCCGAUAACCGAUAUCAUCAUAUCGAACGACCCUUUUACACCUUGACAAGUACCAGUC